rfam:Salmo salar isolate Sally breed double haploid chromosome ssa10, whole genome shotgun sequence.
UAUACUCACUACUUUAAGUUGCUCUGGACAAGAGCAUCUGCUAAAUGGCAUAAA